AUUAAACGCUGGCGGCAUGCCUUACACAUGCAAGUCGAACGGCAGCACGGGGGCAACCCUGGUGGCGAGUGGCGAACGGGUGAGUAAAGCAUCGGAACGUGCCCUGGAGUGGGGGAUAACGUAGCGAAAGUUACGCUAAUACCGCAUAUUCUGUGAGCAGGAAAGCAGGGGAUCGCAAGACCUUGCGUUCUGGGAGCGGCCGAUGUCGGAUUAGCUAGUUGGUGGGGUAAAAGCCUACCAAGGCGACGAUCCGUAGCGGGUCUGAGAGGAUGAUCCGCCACACUGGGACUGAGACACGGCCCAGACUCCUACGGGAGGCAGCAGUGGGGAAUUUUGGACAAUGGGCGGAAGCCUGAUCCAGCCAUGCCGCGUGAGUGAAGAAGGCC
rnacentral:rRNA from 1 species